UGGCAAGUUGGCAAAAAUAUUAAAAGCAACUAUUUAUACUGAUAGUAUAAACAAAUUUGUGGGAUAGACAAUCCGAGUGCUUUAGAGACAAAGACAACUUUGACAGAUCCCAGCAUUCCACACACCAGGUUGACCUGUCUGUUCCUUCAGAGUAAACGUGUUCCCAACAGGUUCACCACUGUCGUAAGUUUCUCCCAGUUGAAAAAGCAGAUCAUAGCUCUGUAGAGAACACACCUGAGAACUCGUUUCAGAACUGAGGAGCCAGCACUCCGAGCAGAGCAACAUUGGACCCCGAAAGCCUUGGCAAAGGCCCCGAUCUUAAGCCCUAGUCAUCGCCUCGGUGAACAGAAGCAACCUGUGCGUGUCCUCAGCCGCUCUCAUCAAUUUCCUCCGUUUCGUGUUCUCUGCAGCAUACAAUCGCACGUAGCUGCAACAGCCGCUCUUCUCUCCUGCACUUUCUUGUUUUCUAAUUUUCUUCCAGGGACUGAUUGGGCCAAUCACUGUGUUCAGACACACGAGCUGCACAGGAAGGAGAUAAAUCUCAGUUUUUGAAUCAUUGGUCAACAGGACUGAUGUGGAAGGCGGCUUCCAGCUACUUCACAGUUCCCUUUGAGACCCAAAGCAAAGAAAAAAAACACCUCUAGCACACCGACAGCCACACUGCACACAGUGGUGCCACAGGAACCAACAGAUGGUCAGUGUGGAGCCAGAACAAGCGAUUCUACGGCCAGCCUACACGGAAAUUUUACAGAACCUGGGAGGCAAAAGAAAUCCUCUCGACCACCGUCCCACAGGACCAGACUCGCAGCCCUGAGUGAGGAAAGUCGGGAGAUGAGCCUCCAGAAAUCGAGAACCACCCCUCUGAAUUUUGGCUGUACUGGCAUGUGGUCGAGUUGUCAGGACCUGGCUUUAGGAGGAGAAAGGCAGCGUGCUCUCCGCCCCAGGGCAGGCCUUCCCUUUGGACUGCAGGUGCUCGGCGUGGAAACGCAGCAGGGUCCUGGAGCGCACACCGGUGUCCACAAGGCCGUCGCGAGCAAUGGAGCAUCCCACGGAGGCCCAAGAGGUUUUCUCCCCCGUUCUGAGUGUGGCCCUUUACUGUCGCAAAGGCUGGUGCCAGGCCCCACAGAGCAGAUGCCCUCUCCAAAGACUGAAUGACAGCAACAACAGAAAUUGUCAUGGCCACACUAUUUCUUCACUGCUGCUUCCACUGUGC